rnacentral:rRNA from 1 species
UAAGGAAUAUUGGACAAUGGGCGAAAGCCUGAUCCAGCCAUGCCGCGUGAAUGAAGAAGGCCUUAGGGUUGUAAAGUUCUUUUAGUGGUGACGAUAAUGACGGUAGCCACAGAAAAAGCUCCGGCUAACUCCGUGCCAGCAGCCGCGGUAAUACGGAGGGAGCGAGCGUUGUUCGGAAUUACUGGGCGUAAAGGGUGCGCAGGCGGCUUGAUAAGUUGGAAGUGAAAUCCCCGGGCUUAACCCGGGAAUUGCUUUCAAAACUAUCAGGCUAGAGUCUCGGAGAGGUUAGCGGAAUUCCCAGUGUAGAGGUGAAAUUCGUAGAUAUUGGGAGGAACACCAGUGGCGUAAGCGGCUAACUAGACGAGUACUGACGCUCAGGCACGAAAGCGUGGGGAUCAAA